rnacentral:tRNA from 1 species
ACCUGGGUGGCUCAGUGGUUGAGCAUCUGCCUUUAGCGCAGAUCAUGAUCCUGGGGUA